rnacentral:rRNA from 1 species
ACAGAGGUGGCAAGCGUUGUUCGGAAUUACUGGGCGUAAAGCGCGUGUAGGCGGCUCUUCAAGUCAGGCGUGAAAGCCCCGGGCUCAACUCGGGAACUGCGCUUGAUACUGUCGAGCUAGAGUGUGGAAGGGGCGAUUGGAAUUCCGUGUGUAGCGGUGAAAUGCGUAGAUAUACGGAGGAACACCAGAGGCGAAGGCGGAUCGCUGGGCCAACACUGACGCUGAGACGCGAAAGCUAGGGUAGCAAACGGGA